GGAGAGGUGGGUGAGUGGCUUAAACCAGCAGUUUGCUAAACUGUCGUAUCUGAUUAGGAUACCGGGGGUUCGAAUCCCCCCUUCUCCG
rnacentral:tRNA from 1 species